AAACCAACAGGGAUUGCCUUAGUAGCGGCGAGUGAAGCGGCAAAAGCUCAAAUUUGAAAUCUGGUACUUUCAGUAUCCGAGUUGUAAUUUGUAGAAGCAACUUUGGUGAUGGUCUUUGCAUAAGUUCCUUGGAAUAGGACGUCAUAGAGGGUGAGAAUCCCGUUUAUGGUGAAGAACCCACACUAUGUAAAGUGCUUUCGAAGAGUCGAGUUGUUUGGGAAUGCAGCUCAAAGUGGGUGGUAAAUUCCAUCUAAAGCUAAAUAUUGGCGAGAGACCGAUAGCGAACAAGUACUGUGAAGGAAAGAUGAAAAGAACUUUGAAAAGAGAGUGAAAAAGUACGUGAAAUUGUUGAAAGGGAAGGGAUCCAAAUCAGACAUGGUAUUUUGUGAUCAACAGUCUUUCGGGACUGUGCACUCGCAUUUUACUAGGCCAGCAUCGGUUAGAAGGGGGUAAAAAAGAUUUUGGAAUGUGGCUCCUCGGAGUGUUAUAGCCAAGGUUAA
rnacentral:rRNA from 1 species